GGCAACAUGGCCGAGCGGUCUAUGGCGUGUGACUCAAGCUUAAAAGCUUGCCUGCCGAGGCGGGUUUCUCAUCCAAGUUAUUUGGGCAUGGGUUCGAAUCCCAUUGUUGUCA